CGGGGUCCGGGGCUGUGGGGCGGGGCGGGCCCUCCCUGUAGUCAGGGCGAGGGUGCCGGCCCCCGGCCUUUGGCCGGCGUGCUCCCUGCCUGGCUGCUGCGAGUCAUUCCUGUGGCCCUGGGGGAAGGCUGAGCUCUCUGUCUGCCUGGGUGUCGUGGCCCUCCCUGUAGUCGGGGCGCGGGCCUGGAGCCCGCGUGCUCAGCUGGCAGCCGGUUUGGGGCGACCGCCCCGUUAGCGGGGCCCAGGUCAGAGUGCCCCUGCAUGGGAGAGAAGGAGCCUCCCUCCGCCGCGGGGCCCCGGGCUGCCCUGUAGCUCGGGGACUGGCCUGUGCCCUGGGGCCCCUGGCCUUAGGCAGUUGGGGCAGUGGCCCCGGCCCCCUGUAAGCAGGGCUGAAGCCUCCUGGGCCACCGCUCUCCAUGCCCAGCUCCAUUUGCCCAGAGUGCCCGCCUCUGACCCCCGCUGCAGCUUCAAUCAAGACCGCUGGACACCUCGUCAGCUGGAGGCCGUGCAGUGGGCAGCGGCUGCUGCUCACGGAGAAGCAAGAAGAGGAGUCGUGAGGAGCGGCGAGUCAAGAGUGAGCCUGAAGAGAGGAUGAGGAAGAUGGAAGAGAAAGCUCACGGAGAAGCAAGAAGAGGAGUCGUGAGGAGCGGCGGGUCAAGAGUGAGCCUGAAGAGAGGAUGAGGAAGAGAGAAGAGGAGGGAGGAGAAAGGCACUCUGGGCAAAGGGACCGCCCUGGCAGCAGGGCUGUGGUCACGUAAGAGCAUGGCUGGCACCUUUGGUGCCCUUGCUCCCUUUGCGCUGGGCGACCUCCCUGUAAGCAGGGCUCGGGUCUUUGCUGUUGUUGGCCUUUUGCCAUGUUGCUCCUUGGCUGCCUGGAGAGAGGGACGAGCCUGUAAGGAGGCUGCGAGUCCCUUUCUCCGCCCCUGGGGGGACAGGGAGCUCACCGGAACCCAGGCCCGCCCUGUAAGCAGGGCCGGGCUCUUUGCCCCCCGCGGCUUUCCGCCUGCCGGCCCCUGGCCGGCGCCACCCCCGCGCUCGGGGUGUGGGCCAGCAUUGGCCCUUUGGCGCCCCGUGAAGCCCCUUGGCAUGUUGAGUGCUCCGGCCUCCAUGCAGCCUGGGGGCAGGCCUGAGCCUCUCCUCCCGCUCCUGGGUACGGACCGGGCCCCCGACGUUGGCUGGCUGCCCUGGGCUCCCUUUCUCUCCUGGAAAGCCGUGUUACAUGUCUCCUGUCUGCUGUGCUUGUCCC